rnacentral:rRNA from 1 species
GCAGCACGCCGCGUGCGGGAUGAAGGCCUUCGGGCUGUAAACCGCUUUCAGCAGGAACGAAAAUGACGGUACCUGCAGAAGAAGGAGCGGCCAACUACGUGCCAGCAGCCGCGGUGACACGUAGGCUCCAAGCGUUGUCCGGAUUUAUUGGGCGUAAAGAGCUCGUAGGCGGUUUAGUAAGUCGGGUGUGAAAACUCUGGGCUUAACCCGGAGACGCCAUCCGAUACUGCUAUGACUUGAGUUCAGGAGGGGAGCGGGGAAUUCCUAGUGUAGCGGUGAAAUGCGCAGAUAUUAGGAGGAACACCGGUGGCGAAGGCGCCGCUCUGGACUGAAACUGACGCUGAGGAGCGAAAGCAUGGGGAGCGAAAGGGAUUAGAUACCCCUGUAGUCCUGGCCGUAAACGAUGAACACUAGGUGUCGGGGGAAUCGACCCCCUCGGUGUCGUAGCCAACGCGUUAAGUGUUCCGCCUGGGGAGUACGCACGCAAGUGUG